rnacentral:rRNA from 1 species
UGCCAGCAGCUGCGGUUAAACAAAGAAUACAAAUAAAUUUUAUAAAUAUAUAAGUUAAAUUGAAUUUAUUUAAUUAAUAAAAAAAAAUUAGGUGAAAUUUUAUUUUUUUAAAAAUUAAUAUAGAAAAUUAUAUUGAAUCUUCAAAAUUUUAUUUUUAAACUAGGAUUAGAUACCCUAUUAUUUAAUUAUUUAAAAAUAUAAAAAUUAGAGUAGUAAUAGUUAUGGUCUUGAAACUCAAAAAAUUUGGCGGUAUUUUAGUCUAUUCAGAGGAACCUGUAAUAUAAUCGAUAAUCCACGAUGGAUCUUUCUUAAUUUUGUAAUUUAAUUUGUAUAUCGCCGUUAUUUGAAAAUUUUAUAAGAAAAAUAAUUUUCUUAAAUUUUUAUUAAAAAAUAAAUCAGGUCAAGGUGCAGUUUAUAAUUAAGUAUUAUAUGGGUUACAAUAAAUUUAUUUAAACGGAUUGAAAAAUGAAAUAUUUUUAGGAAGGUGGAUUUGAUAGUAAAUUUUUAAAGAUAAAAAAAUUGAUUUUAGCUCUAAAAUAUGUACACAUCGCCCGUCGCUCUUKUUAAUAAUAUAAGAUAAGUCGUAACAUA